UUGAGACAUAUAACAAACAGAAGUAGACAUUAAAGAUAUCAAAAUUAAGACUAUUUGGAGAUCGGUGGUCCAUUGCAAAGAUUGGUGAUGUAAUGGACAGAGUGGUCGUAUUAAGUUGUUAUCUCGAGAGAGGAGCAAAUCCAUCACUGUAAAGAAGAUGAACCCCACAUGAAAGUCUAAGAAAAAGGUAAGUACUUUGUUUCUCCUUAGAAUAUCUGUAUGAGUUAUAAUCUAAGCUAUGCUUUGUUUCUGAGUAAUUUUAGUCUGUUUUUAUUGACACUUGAAGAAACUUAUCAAAAUAAUUGUUCUUCGAUGAAAGAAUAAGAAAGAUAUGGAGCAUGAAGAAAAGGGUAAAAAAAUAACGGCUCACAUGAAGAUCCAAACUGAAUCUGAGGCAAGAGUUGCAUCAAGGGAACUCUUCCAAAAAGUUGUCAAGCGCCAGGAGCAGAGUUCAUUAAACUGGGUGACUUUGAUGCUUCCUUUCAGAAACUGAUGCCUAGUCAGAGGAUGAAACAACCCGAAUCACUUGCAAAUCUCAGACUACAAUUGAUGGUAAAUGAGACAACCCAAAUGAGUGCGCUUCUCUGCAACAUUUGAUGGUAAUCACGGUUAGUACUCUAUUUUAAGGUUUUAACUCAUAUAAGAAUGGUUGAGUGAAUCAUUACCUUAGUAAUAUAUGUUUGGUUUUAAUUGAUUAAGUGAUGCAUACGUGAAUGAUUGUGUUAUAUAUAACUUAAAAAUUAAAGCAAAAUCACUUCAAAUAGCUCAAUGGAAAUGAUUUGGUGUGUCAAAAAAAAAGGAAAAGCGUACUUAUAUAAAAUAAAUGUUCGAUAAUAAGACUUGCAAAAUGUUGUUCACAUACCCUCUACUCUACGUGUGGGUAUUUGAAACCUACAUGUAACAGAACAAAAUUAAUAUAUUUUUUAUUAUAAUUAUCUUUCUACAACAUACAAUGAAACACGCAUAGAAACAUUCCAAAAUUGAACACACAGCUACGUAAAACAUGGAUUAUAAGAAUAGAUUAAAGUCACCCUACAAAGAAAUAAUGAUAUUCGUAAUAGAUCAACUCGCAUAUAAAGUGCUAAAACGUAUUCUUUGAAAAAAUCUUAAAGUUUCAUUGUCUGACACCAUUUCAAGCAUCUUGCCUCCGGUAUGACGUGUUUCUUUUCCACGAAUGAAUCAAUUUAACGUGAACUCUCUAUCCAGUUUUAAAAGAUUUGGCUUUUUUGAGAAGAGUAAAACUGAAAAACUGAUAAUUUCAGACAUGUUUAGGUUGUUGAGUGAAUAAGAAUGAGUAUUGACGGUAGAGGAAUGGGAUAUCUCACAAUACUAAAAGCUCUUGAGCUAGAGCAUUGAGACUAUCCACGUAGGACUGAAAAUUCAGGCUAACCAGGGACCUCUAAAUUGACAAGUCAUUAAAACAAUAUACAUAUCACCAAAUCACUUUUCUCUGUCACCUUUUCACGUCAAUUCCAAUCCCUCCUUGGUCUUCUUCCGCUUCGUCUGCCUCUGCAAACCAACACUUUCACCGGUUACAAAUCCUUUACUCCUUAUUAUUCUUUUGAGCUUUCCUCUCUUUCCUUCCUCACUAUAUAAGAGUGGUAGAUUCACGAAAAAUUCCUCUCACUAGAACCACCAGAGCUCUUCAUCGCCUCCGGGGAAAACAGAGUAGUUAGCAAGGCCGUUUAGUUUUAGUCCCAUCACUUUACCUCUGUAUACAGUUUUCUGUAAAAAUAAUUACUCCUUAAUAUUUGGUAAGUCACUCACCGCCUUGCUCCUGGUACGUGCAAAGCAUCACUUAAGCUUUGAAAAGUUUUCUUUGAAAAGUGUUCUUGGGAGUUGUCUGUGAUCUUUUUCUUUUUGAUCAUUUAUGAUAUUGUGAGAUUGUUAGGAACAAGAAACAACAAACGGUUGAGAAAAUGGAGGGAGAUGGAGGAGUUCGAGCUCCAUCACUGGUGGAGCUUACGGUUGAGGAUUCUGAGUUUACGGUUAAAGUUUCCUUCUUAUAAUUCAUGAUUUCACAUCCUCUGUUUCAGAUCGUUGGUUGGUUUUUUAAAUCUCUUGAUCUGGUGUUUAGGUUGUUGGACGUGUAAAAGGAGGAGAUGAAGCUUUACAUGACAGGAUUCGUCAUCUGGUUUCUCAGGUUUUCUAAUUCUCAAUCUCUGUUUUGAUGAUAAAACAAUCCAUACGAAUGUGAGCAAUGCAGUUUCAGUUUGUUUGCUUUUUUUAUUAGCUUUAUAGUUUUGGGUCUCUAAUUCCAAAAUUUGCAUGUACACAAUUAUUGACCUCUAAACGCAAGAGAACCAUACCGUUUGUUUCUUUUUUUUCCUUCCUCUUACGUUGACGCUUUCUACUUUAUGUGUUUUCAGGGACCAACUGAAAAUGGGCAAAUUGAUUUCAAGGAGAUGUAAUCUUAACACAAUUUCAAGGUUUGCAUAGCGCAAGAACGACGUUCGAGCAAUCCCCGCUUCAUCUGGCCAUCACUUUGUCUUCUAAUGCUAUGACUCCAAGGUAUUUCUUUUGAGUCAAUCUUUGAGUCAAAAUCGCAUGUAGUGAGGUGUAACAUGAGUCAUCCUUGGUAUCGUCCCGUUAUCUAGAAAAGUUACUUUUUUUUUAUUAAAUUGAUUUGUGUGUUGUGUAUUUUAAGUUAUUUUUAAUCCUUAGCUCACAUCUUGGUAUGUUCACGAGUUUAUCUUCCGUAAUUUUUUUUAUCACUGUCAAUGGUGUUUGACUGUUUGUAUGUUACUGUCUACAUUUGUUUUAACAUUGACAUUGUGUUUUCAUGAUUAUGUACCUUGGUUUGGUUUUGUUUUUAUGGGUAGGUUGAAGCAAGCUCAUUGAAUGAAGAAAGUGUCACUGCCACAGAAGAUUUGGAUGAGCAUGCUAAUGAAGAGGAAGAGGUGGAGUAAAUUGUUUGGCAGCAGCGAUGUCACCCCUGUGAGGAAAGUUAAAUAUAUGAUGAGGUAUAUAUACAUUUAGAUGGGUUUUUGUAUUAAACCAUCGGUUAUUUGAUGAGGUUCUUUUAAUAUCAAAAAUGUAUUAGCAGCUAUUUUUGAUAACGGGAUGUAUAUUUGCAGCUUCUUAGUAGAGUCUUUAACAUUUUCCAUGAAAAAAAUCCAAAGCUGGCUGGAGAUAGGUGGUGUACAGUUAUGAGCCUCCUUAAUUUUUUGCAGGGGACAAAAAGAAGACAAUGUUUUCCAAGUUUAUGGACCUUUUCAAAACGUAUGAACAAAUCUCUUUUAUCUUCCUCUUCACGCUUGAUCUAUUUACCAUAAGUAUUCAUAUGUACUAGGGGGCUUUAUGAUUGUAUGGCAUGUAUUUUUCUCUGUAAAAUAAAAACAUUUAGGAUGAA